GAUGAACGCUGGCGGCGUGCUUAACACAUGCAAGUCGAGCGGAAAGGCCCUGCUUUUGUGGGGUGCUCGAGUGGCGAACGGGUGAGUAACACGUGAGUAACAUGCCCUUGACUUUGGGAUAACUUUUGGAAACUGGGGCUAAUACCGGAUAGGAGCUCCUGAUGCAUGGUGGGGGUUGGAAAGUUUCGGCGGUUGGGGAUGGACUCGAGGCUUAUCCGCUUGUUGGUGGGGUAGUGGCUUACCAAGGUUUUGACGGGUAGCCGGCCUGAGAGGGGGACCGGCCACAUGGGGCCUGAGAUACGGCGCAGUCUCCUACGGGACGCAGCAGUGGGGAAUAUUGCACAAUGGGCGGAAGCCUGAUGCAGCAACGCCGCGUGCGGGAUAACGGCCUUCUGGUUGUAAACCACUGUCGCCGGUGACGAAGCGUUAGUGACGGUAAUUGGUAAAAAAGCACCGGCUAACUACGUG
rnacentral:rRNA from 1 species